GACGAACGCUGGCGGCGUGCCUAAUACAUGCAAGUAGAACGCUGAAGGAAGGAGCUUGCUCUUUCUGGAUGAGUUGCGAACGGGUGAGUAACGCGUAGGUAACCUGCCUGGUAGCGGGGGAUAACUAUUGGAAACGAUAGCUAAUACCGCAUAAAAUUGAUUAUUGCAUGAUAGUCAAUUAAAAGGUGCAACUGCACCACUACCAGAUGGACCUGCGUUGUAUUAGCUAGUUGGUGGGGUAACGGCUCACCAAGGCGACGAUACAUAGCCGACCUGAGAGGGUGAUCGGCCACACUGGGACUGAGACACGGCCCAGACUCCUACGGGAGGCAGCAGUAGGGAAUCUUCGGCAAUGGACGGAAGUCUGACCGAGCAACGCCGCGUGAGUGAAGAAGGUUUUCGGAUCGUAAAGCUCUGUUGUAAGAGAAGAACGAGUGUGAGAGUGGAAAGUUCACACUGUGACGGUAUCUUACCAGAAAGGGACGGCUAACUGCGUG
rnacentral:rRNA from 1 species